GUGCAGGUGGCCGAGCGGUCCAAGGUGCCAGACUCAAGUUCUGGUGUGUGCUUACACGCGUGGGUUCAAAUCCCACCCUGCACA
rnacentral:tRNA from 1 species